AGCAAAUUUGCCAUAAAUUAGAUUGAUUAUGCAAUUAAUUGUAAUAUUUCUUGAUGUAUUUACUACAGAAUAUAUCUUUUUAUAACACAAUGGUAAUUUUAAUGUUUUAAUUUCUACAACUUAAUUAUUUAACGAUUUAAUUGAAAACCUGGUUUUCCUAGAAUUGCCACGAUUUUUGUUUUAUUAUUUCAGGUAUGACAUGUUGCAAAGCAUUCUGUUUGAUUAACAGAUAAUAGAUACUGCAGACACUAAGCAAAUUAUACUUACCUAGCAGUUGCAGUAUUUCAGCCAUGGAGUCAUAAUCUUAGAAUAAAGUUCUCGGUGUUUAGGUGAAUCUGAGAAAAGUCCAAAAUAUUGCAACUGUUCCAGUUGUUAAAAUU
rnacentral:lncRNA from 1 species